UACGUAGGGGGCAAGCGUUGUCCGGAUUUAUUGGGCGUAAAGAGCGUGUAGGCGGUCAGGUAGGUCGGUUGUGAAAACUGGAGGCUCAACCUUCAGAGGUCGACCCGAAACCCCCUGGCUAGAGUCCGGGAGAGGAGAGUGGAAUUCCUGGUGUAGCGGUGAAAUGCGCAGAUAUCAGGAAGAACACCCGUGGCGAAAGCGGCUCUCUGGAACGGUACUGACGCUGAGACGCGAAAAGCCGUGGGGAGCGAACAGG
rnacentral:rRNA from 1 species